rnacentral:lncRNA from 1 species
CCUAUGGGGUGAGGUGGGGUGCCUAUGGGGUCGUUGUAGGGCAGCUAUAGGGCCGUUGUAGGAGGGUUCUAGGGGAGUUGUAGGGCCGUUGUAGGACAGCUAUAGGGCUGUUGUGGGGCCGUUGUAGGGCAGCUAUAGGGCUGUUGUGGGGCCGUUGUAGGGCAGCUAUAGGGCCGUUGUAGGGCCAUUCUAGGGGGUUGUAGGGCAGCCAUAGGGCUGUUGCAGGGCAGCUAUAGGGCCGUUGUAGGGCGGUUCUAGAAGGGUUGUAGGGCAGCUAUAGGGCCGUUGUAGGGCAGCUCUAGGGCCGUUGUAGGGCCGUUGUGGGGCUGUUAUGGGGCCGUUGUGGGGCCGUUGUAGGGCGGCUCACCCCAUACUCGGGUUUGAAGAAUCCCUCCUUCUCCCACCAGCUGUACCAGGCCGCCUCCACGUAGCGCGGGCUGUAGGACGGCGGCAGCGGCACCGACACGUCUGUGGGGUUUUGUAGGGUUUGUAGGGUUAUGGGGUGAUGUGGGGUUAUGGGGUGAUGUGGGGUUAUGGGGUGAUGUGGGGUUAUGGGGUGAUGUGGGGCUGUAGGACGGCGGCAGCGGCACCGACACGUCUGUGGGGUUGUGGGGUUGUAGGGUUGUGGGGUUAUGGGGUUGUGGCAUUAUGGGGUGAUGGAGCAUUAUGGGGUUAUGGGGUGAUGUGGGGCUGUACAACGCCGGCACCGGCACCAUCCCAUAACCCCACAAAACCCCACAAAUUCCCCAUAACCCCACAAAACCCCACAGACCCCCCAUAACCCCACAAAUCCCCCAUAACC